AUUGAACGCUGGCGGCCGGCCUAACACAUGCAAGUCGAACGAGUGGCGGACGGGUGAGUAAUGUCUGGGAUACUGCUUGAUGUUGGGGGAUAACUACUGGAAACGGUAGCUAAUACCGCAUACCAUCGGAUGUUCCCAGAUGUGAUUAGCUAGUAGGUGGGGUAACGGAUCACCUCGGCGACGAUCCCUAGCUUGUCUGAGAGGAUGACCAGCAACACUGGAACGGAGACACGGUCCAGACUCCUACGGGAGGCAGCAGUGGGGAAUAUUGCACAAGGGGCGCAAGCCUGAUGCAGCCAUGCCGCGUGUAUGAAGAAGGCCUUCGGGAUGUAAAGUACUUUCAGCGGGGAGGCGUUACCCGCAGAAGAAGCACAGGCUAACUCCGUGCCAGCAGCCGCGGUAAUAC
rnacentral:rRNA from 1 species